UGCGCAGGCGGUUGUGUAAGACAGGUGUGAAAUCCCCGGGCUUAACCUGGGAACUGCGCUUGUGACUGCACGACUAGAGUAUGGCAGGAGGGGGGUGGAAUUCCACGUGUAGCAGUGAAAUGCGUAGAGAUGUGGAGGAACACCGAUGGCGAAGGCAGCCCCCUGGGCCAAUACUGACGCUCAUGCACGAAAGCGUGGGGAGCAAACA
rnacentral:rRNA from 1 species